rnacentral:rRNA from 1 species
CAGCACCUCAAGUGGUCAGGAUGAUUAUUGGGCCUAAAGCAUCCGUAGCCUGCUUUGUAAGUUUUCGGUUAAAUCCAUACGCUCAACGUAUGGGCUGCCGGGAAUACUGCAAAGCUAGGGAGUGGGAGAGGUAGACGGUACUCGGUAGGAAGGGGUAAAAUCCUUUGAUCUAUUGAUGACCACCUGUGGCGAUGGCGGUCUACCAGAACACGUCCGACGGUGAGGGAUGAAAGCUGGGGGAGCAAACCGGAUUAGAGACCCGAGUAGUCC